rnacentral:tRNA from 1 species
GCCUGGGUGGCUCAGUCGGUUAAGCACCGAACUUCAGCUUAGGUCAUGAUCUCGUGGUUUGUGGGUUCAAGCCCCACAUCGGGUU